rnacentral:lncRNA from 10 species
UCUGGAAAUCACCUUUAAAUGUCAUUAAAUUAAGGAUCUUGAAAUGAGAUUAUCCUGGACUUAGCUUGGGCCCUGACUCCAAUGCAGAGUAUCCUUAUAAGAAAUAAGAAAGGAGAAGACACAGAGACACAGAGGCCAAAUAAAGAUGGAGACAAAGAUUGGAGUUAUGCAGCUACAAGCCAAGGAACACCAAGACUUGCUGACAGCCACCAGAAGCCAGGAGAGAAACAUGGAAUGGAUUCUCUCGCUGAGCCUCUAGAAGGAACCAACCAUGUCAAUACCUUGAUUUUGACUUUGUACUUCUGGUCUCCAGAACUGCGAGAUAAUAAAUUUUUGAUUUUUAAGUGAUGAAGUGUGUGGUAGUUUUUUAAACGGUAGACAUAGGAAACUAAUACAGUUUGACUCUCUUCUAGAAAUUGUGAAAAUAAUAAUAUAUGAAAAUCUGAAUUUUUGCCGUAUUUGUUUGAUAUCGAAAAUGAGAAAAAAGGCAAGAUGACCAGAAGCUACUGACAGAAAAAAAAUUAAGAAGCAGCACCAUUAGUGGAAGCCAACAAGCCUUUCCAUUGCUCCUGGGGAGCUGGUCCCAGAGAAGCCUACUAACUAGAUGGGAGGCAAGCAGCUGUGAGCUGUCUCUUUUAGCACCUGACUUUCCUGGCUUGGCUAAGGUA